rnacentral:rRNA from 1 species
UACGUAGGGUGCGAGCGUUAAUCGGAAUUACUGGGCGUAAAGCGUGCGCAGGCGGUUCGUUGUGUCGGCGGUGAAAGCCCCGGGCUUAACCUGGGAAUGGCCGUCGAAACUGGCGAACUGGAGUGUGGCAGAGGGGGGUGGAAUUCCGCGUGUAGCGGUGAAAUGCGUAGAUAUCGGGAGGAACACCUGUGGCGAAAGCGGCUCACUGGACCACAACUGACGCUGAGGCGCGAAAGCUAGGGGAGCAAACAGG